GACGAACGCUGGCGGCGUGCUUAACACAUGCAAGUCGAACGGAAAGGCCCUGCGUUUGCGGGGUGCUCGAGUGGCGAACGGGGGAGUAACACGUGAGUAACAUGCCCUUGAAUUUGGGAUAAAUUCAGGAAAAUGGGGCUAAAACCGGAUAGGAGCUACUGAUGCAUGGUGGGGGAUGGAAAGUGUCGGCGGUGGGGGAUGGACUAGCGGCUUAUCAGCUUCAUGGUGGGGUAGGGGCUUACCAAGGCUUUGACGGGUAGCCGGCCUGGGAGGGUGACCGGCCACCUUGGGACUGCGGUACGCCCCAGACUCCUACGGGAGGCAGCAGUGGGGAAUAUUGCACAAUGGGCGGAAGCCUGAUGCAGCAACGCCGCGUGCGGGAUGCCGUCCUUCGGGCUGUAAACCGCUUUCGCCUGUGACGAAGCGUGAGUGACGGUAAUGGGUAAAGAAGCACCGGCUAACUACGUG
rnacentral:rRNA from 1 species